AGAAUCAACGCUGGCGGCGUGCCUAACACAUGCAAGUCGAACGAGAAAGUGGAGCAAUCCAUGAGUAAAGUGGCGACCGGGUGAGUAACACGUGACUAACCUACCUUUGAGUGGGGGAUAACAUCGGGAAACCGAUGCUAAUACCGCAUAACAUCGCAAGAUCAAAGCAGCAAUGCGCUUAAAGAGGGGGUCGCGGCUGAUUAGCUAGUUGGCGGGUAACGCCCACCAAGGCGAAGAUCGGUAUCCGGCCUGAGAGGGCGCACGGACACACUGGAACUGAAACACGGUCCAGACUCCUACGGGAGGCAGCAGUGGGGAAUUUUGCGCAAUGGGGGAAACCCUGACGCAGCAACGCCGCGUGGAGGAUGAAGCCCCUUGGGGCGUAAACUCCUUUCGACCAAGACGAUAAUGACGGUACUGGUGGAAGAAGCACCGGCUAACUCUGCGCCAGCAGCCGC
rnacentral:rRNA from 1 species